rnacentral:rRNA from 1 species
AUGGAGAUCCUGCUGCGGCUGCCGCCGAUCUCCCGGCGCCGGGUCCGCCUCGUCUGCAGUCUCUGGCGAGACAUCAUCGACAAGCACACCACGGAGAUGCAGAGCCGCGCCACAGCCCUCCAUUGGGAUACCUGGGACGCCGUCGCCCACGUCGUCCACGACCUGUCCAAGUCAUCGACGGGGAGCCACACAGAGCUGUGGCUUCCGGACAGCAUGGCGGCCGACUUCCGGUUCCGGAAGAACAGUAGCCUGCAGCUGAUCGGCACGUGCAAUGGUCUUCUCUGCCUGUGCGACAACAAGUAG